GCGGGGCGGGGCGACGUGAGGCGAUGCAGAUGGUCCGAGCGUAGCUCUGCCAUUCCCGGCUGAGCGGUCUGAGGGCGGGCGGGCCCCUGGAGGCCGCGGCGUCCCCUAAGUCUGGACACGUGUGGGGCCAGCCCGCUGGCUCCCCCUCCCGGCGGAGAAAGAAGUGGAGGAAAUGGCCCCACAGGCUCCAGAGCCAAAAAAAGUGUUCAAAUUCAUGUGUUUAAACUAACAUGGACACCAUCUUAGUCUUCAGCCUAAUCAUUGCAUCCUAUGAUUCCAAGGAGAAAGGUA
rnacentral:lncRNA from 1 species